CCUACGGGUGGCUGCAGUGGGGAAUAUUGCACAAUGGGCGCAAGCCUGAUGCAGCCAUGCCGCGUGUGUGAAGAAGGCCUUCGGGUUGUAAAGCACUUUCAGCGGGGAGGAAGGCGUUAAGGUUAAUAACCUUGGCGAUUGACGUUACCCGCAGAAGAAGCACCGGCUAACUCCGUGCCAGCAGCCGCGGUAAUACGGAGGGUGCAAGCGUUAAUCGGAAUUACUGGGCGUAAAGCGCACGCAGGCGGUCUGUCAAGUCGGAUGUGAAAUCCCCGGGCUCAACCUGGGAACUGCAUUCGAAACUGGCAGGCUAGAGUCUUGUAGAGGGGGGUAGAAUUCCAGGUGUAGCGGUGAAAUGCGUAGAGAUCUGGAGGAAUACCGGUGGCGAAGGCGGCCCCCUGGACAAAGACUGACGCUCGGGUGCGAAAGCGUGGGGAGCAAACAGGAUUAGAUACCCUAGUAGUC
rnacentral:rRNA from 1 species